rnacentral:rRNA from 1 species
GAUGAACGCUGGCGGCGUGCUUAACACAUGCAAUUCGAACGGAAAGGCCCAAGCUUGGUUGGGUACUCGAGUGGCGAACGGGUGAGUAACACGUGGGUGAUCUGCCCUGCACUUCGGUAUAAGCCUCGGAAACUGGGUCUAAUACCGGAUAGGCCCACGUCCUGGCUGUUGUGGCGGAAAGUUUUUUCGGUGUGGGGUCAGCUCGAGGCCUAUCGGCUUGUUGGUGGGGUAGUGGCCUACCAAGGCGUCGACGGGUAGCCGGCCUGAGAGGGGGUACGGCGAGAUGGGGAUUGAGAGACGGCCCAGAGUCCCACGGGAGGCAGGAGUGGGGAAGAUAGGACAAUGGGAGCAAGCCUGAGGCAGGGGGGCCGCGUGGGGGGUGAGGGCUUUGGGGUUGUAGACUCCUGUCGCGAGGGACGAAGCGUUUUUGUGACGGUACCUGGGGAAGAAGAACCGGCUAACUACGUG